AGCCCAUUGUAGUACAUAGGCCCUGAAAUUUUAUAUAUCAUAUUACAAGAAAUGUAAAAAUGCAAAAGAUUUUCCAGGUUCAUGUUUUGAAAAGACUAGAAUACUCACCAUUUGGAUCUAUUGCAGUGUAAAUUUUCCCAGUGAAAUUUAAGCAGCAAAAGCAUUACGUAAACCACAAAAAUAAAAAGAAAAGUUAGCUGUAAUUAAUUAAGGAAGAUUAAU
rnacentral:misc_RNA from 1 species